rnacentral:sRNA from 1 species
UUUAAGAGUCCACCCAGCCGGUGGCUAUCCAACUCCAGACCGGAGUACUUUCAGGAUCUAUUUUUGAAUCUACCUUGAAUAAGAUAUAACCCAUCAUCUGCCCUAAACCCAGCCACUCUGCUACUUGAUCUGUCCUCAGAUAUGCAGCAUGAUUGCUCUAUAGCACAUAUCCAGAACAUCAGGCUGGACUUGACUGACAAACGCUGGCCAAACACAGAAGGCCUCUACUUCACGGAUGGGAGCAGCUUCAUCCAGAAUGGAAUCAUGUUUGCAGGGGCAGAGGUGUCUUUUCAGGAUGGGCAGAAGCCUACCCUACAAAGAAGGAGAGUACCAAUGUAGUGGCAGAGAGGCUUCUGGAAGACAUUAUACCCAGGUGACAAAGUCUGGAUUAAGCGGCAUAACCACAAGGCUUUGGAACCUUGCUGGAAAGGGUCUGACACUGUGAUCCUGACCACACCUUUGACUGUUAAGGUGGAUGGGAUCAGGAUGUGGAUACACCUCCCAUGUUCAGCCUGCCAGGAGACAAAAUCCAGUAAUUAAAGUCCCAGCAGAGGAGACUUCCAGGGGAUGUCACAAGAAUGAUGGAAGGUCACCCUACACCCUGUCAGUCUGCCGAGUCUGUGACUCCAGUGUCCUGAUCCUGCUUGCUAGCUGCUGCUUCUUUGCUGCACCAGCCACUGGCCCCUUACUAUCUGGGUACCCCUAAGGGGUGAUACAACAACCUUGUCAUCAACGUCACAGUGUCUAGCAGGAAGACUGAUUAGACUGCCGGUUCUUAACUCCUCUUACCGGACAGGGACUCUGCAUUGAAAAUAAGGUACCCCCAUCCUAUUCCCACCUCUGCAACUGCACUGUAACCCCUACUGUUACAGGAUACAUGCUGUCCCCAGAGAACGCUUGGUGGGCUUGUACCUGGGGCUUACUCCAUGCAUUUAUGGCCUGAUUGUAAAUACGACUGAAGAUCUUUCAGCUUGUACCCAGAGUGACUAAUUACUCUGGGGAGGAUAUCGUCAACCAGCUAGCACCUCCAAACAAUUGAGUUAAUAGGGUGGCCAUUUCUGUUGUAUUACUAGGUUCUCCCCUUGGCAUAGGGCUGGCUGGAGCUGCCCCAACACCAGGCCUGAGGUAAGGACAAUGGCUCAGCAGCAGUUUCCAGCCUCUACACCCCAGUAAUGGAGUGUCCUAGAGAUGGAGUAAGAUAAAGGUCACCUACCCAGAAUGCCCUAAUGUGCUUUAAGUCAGGCCUGCAAGCUCACUUGGUUGUCUUUCUAUCUUGGUAAUGGGAGACCCCAGCAUGCUUGGCUUCUGCAGAAUAGAACACUCUUCGUGUUUACAUACUAAUUGAGUCAAGGGUGUCAUUCUUUGGCUAACCAUGGGCCCUUACAAAAUGAGAAUGCAGAAGCUGUUAGCAGUGUGCGGUCUGUGCAUUCCACACACUAAGUAAAUGGAGUAAGUAAAUGUUAAUUUUGUCCUCACCCGGUGUGGACCACAUUGGUUUUUAUGGAACUCUGGCCCAGUGUACCCUAGCCUUUGACACAUAACUAAAUGGAUAUGGCCAUUUUCUUGCGCUGAUCUUUGAGAACAGAGAUGCCGGCCUUCCAUUUGGUCUAUGCCGCUUGUUUCUUCCAGUCAGCCACAGACCCUAUUCUGAGGUACCAUUCUGAAGGUACCAUACUGUCAACUGAUGUAGCACAGAGUUUCACAUGGGUGCUGCCCCACAUGUGAGCCCAGAAUAUGGUUUCAUGUCUCUUCCACCAAAGUUUUCCCGGCAAAAUGAAGAAGUCCCCUGAGCACUUCAGGGCUCGCAAGGCUUUCCUCACAGGCCGCAGGCCUCCAUCAUCGAUCUGAGCUUCCAUCACUGAAAUCUAACUUCAAGAAAAGAACUCACCAAGAUGAGCCCAUUAAAAUUUUCCAAACUUCUGCAUGGUCAGAAUCCUUUGGUGAUCAUGAAGAAACAAACAAAUAAACAACAACCUGCCUGCUAUGUACAGGCUGGAUUCCAUUAUUUAAUUAAUGUAAGUCCACAAUGACAGCUGGGAAUCUGUGUGAGAAACUUCUGUCCCCUCUGUGUUAUUCAGAAACCAAAGGAGAGCUGUAGAGUGGGACAAGGGAGCAUAGCGGGGCUAAACAUAAGCUAAGUAUACUUUUCAUAAUGAAGCUUGUGCUGUCCAUCGACGACAAUUAGUUAAAAUACAUGAAAUUUUUUUGGUUUAUUUUGUUUGUUUUAUUUGUUUUUGAGACAAGGUUUCUUUGUGUGGUCCUGUUUGUCUUGGAACUUUCUUUGUACACUAGGCUGGCCUUGGUCUCAUAGAUCUGCCCACCUCUGCCUCCUGACUGCUGGGAUCAAAGAUGUGCGGCAUCACUGCCUAGAUUGGUGGUUGUUUGUUUUUGAGACAGAUCUCUCUACAUAGCUCUGGCUGUCCUGGCCCUCACUAUUUUGUCCAGCC